GGACUACCAGGGUAUCUAAUCCUGUUUGCUCCCCACGCUGUCGUGUCUGAGCGUCAGGCACUGGCCAGGACACCGGCUUCCCCUCUGGUAUUCUUCCCGAUCUCUACACAUUUCACUGUUCCACCGGGAGUUCUAUGUCCCUCUCCAGCCCUCAAGUCGGUCCAUCUCACGACCCGCUUCCCAGUUGAGCCGGGAGAUUUCAGCCGUGAUGUGACCGACCGCCUGCACACGCUUUACGCCCAGUAACUCCGGACAACGCUCGCCUCCUACGUAUUACCGCGGCGGCUGGCAC
rnacentral:rRNA from 1 species